rnacentral:antisense_RNA from 1 species
UGUGGGAGCGGGCUUGCUCGCGAAGGCGUCGUGUCAGAGAAAUACAUGUGUCUGACCCACCGCCUUCGCGAGCAAGCCCGCUCCCACA